UCUACAAAACCUAAAAUUCUCAGUUAACCAUCACCUGUUUAGUAGACCAGACCUAAAUGGAAUAGUUCUAUGUUUUUCUCGCAUUUCUCGUGUUCUAAAUUUGUUAGCGUUUUGUUUAUCCAAAAUUGUUUUCGUGUAUUCGUAUUGUUUUAAGGCUAAGAUGUUUGUCUCAACAAUUUGGCCAAAUUCAAAAGGGGAUUUAUGGUGGAGAGCUGUCCAUGGCCGUGUCCUGGAGGACAUGGUAUAUGUAAGGCUGCCCCAGAAGAAGAUCCAAGAGAAUGUGGGAAAAACAUAAGCUAACUUCUCCUCUUAUGUCUGAAAAAUUAUGGCCAGGACAUUGUUCGUCCCUGGUCAUGGCAAAAAAAGGAUUUAUUUGUUAUUACAUUUAAUGUAAACAUAUAGUUACUUGGACUCCUCAAUGAAGAAAAGGAUUGGACUCCUUAAUAUAAUAUUAGGAAUAUUUGAAUGAAAGAUUUUACCGGAUUCCAUGAUAUAGGCUUCGCUUUACUCGAACUUUACUUGGAUCACCGAAUACGAUGACUUCACUUGCCAUAUGUGUGUAUAUAUAAGUUGCAAACUAGGUAGGAAUAUCCCAGUCGCACUGAACAAACAUUGUCCCAGAGCUACUAAAUCAUAUAUAUGCUCAUAUUAUAUAUAUACUAAAUCAUAUAUAUGCUCACAUUAUAUUGCAUUAUAUAUGUUACUUGUUCCACAAAGAUUACUGGCAUUUAAAAUAGAUUUCAGCACUUAAUUGUAAUUGUAAUAAUUCAUCAGUUAUUAAAUUAGCCUUUGCCUCACAA